ACAAACUUGGUCAUUUAGAGGAAGUAAAAGUCGUAACAAGGUAACCGUAGGUGAACCUGCGGUUGGAUCAUUAAUAAAAACAAUUGGAAAGCUUUUUUUUAAAAAAAGUUUUCUUUCACCCCAAUGUGAACUGUUGAAUAGUUUCUCGGUAGGGAAAAAGUGGAAUACUUUUUUUUGGAGGUGGUAGAGAGUUUUUUAUACCCUUCACCUACCGUGUUUAUUUAAACAUUAGAUUAAAAAAAACUUUGUCUACAAUUUAAAUCAAAAUAAAUUAAAUACAACUUUUGACAACGGAUCUCUAGGUUCUCGCAUCGAUGAAGAACGCAGC
rnacentral:misc_RNA from 1 species